rnacentral:rRNA from 1 species
AGCGAACGCUGGCGGCAGGCCUAACACAUGCAAGUCGAACGAACCUUUCGGGGUUAGUGGCGGACGGGUGAGUAACACGUGGGAACGUGCCUUUAGGUUCGGAAUAACUCAGGGAAACUUGUGCUAAUACCGAAUGUGCCCUUCGGGGGAAAGAUUAAUCGCCUUUAGAGCGGCCCGCGUCUGAUUAGCUAGUUGGUUGAGGUAAUGGCUCACCAAGGCGACGAUCAGUAGCUGGUCUGAGAGGAUGAGCAGCCACAUUGGGACUGGGACACGGCCCAAACUCCUACGGGAGGCAGCAGUGGGGAAUCUUGCGCAAUGGGCGAAAGCCUGACGCAGCCAUGCCGCGUGAAUGAUGAAGGUCUUAGGAUUGUAAAAUUCUUUCACCGGGGACGAUAAUGACGUUACCCGGAGAAGAAGCCCCGGCUAACUUCGUG